rnacentral:rRNA from 1 species
GCUUCAUGGGACGGCGAACGGCUCAAUAACACGUGGUCAAUCUACCAUAAAGAUAUGGACAUCCUCGGGAAACUGAGGUUAAUACAUGAUAGGGUAAGACAUCUGGAAGGAGUCUUACUUUAAAGGUGCGCAAAUUGUAGCGUUACCGCUUUACGAUGAGACUGCGGUGGAUCAGGCAGAUGGCGGGGUAACGGCCCACCAUACCUAUAACCCAUAGGGGAUGUGGGAGCAUAAGCCCCGAGAAGGGUACUGAGACAAGGACCCUAGCGCUACGGCGUGCAGCAGGCGCGCAAACUCCACAAUGCGCAUACGCGUGAUGGGGGGAAUCCGAGUGAGUUACUAACGUAACUCUUUUAUAAAGUUUAAUCAGCUAUAUGAAUAAGUGCUGGGCAAGACCGGUGCCAGCCGCCACGGUAAUACCGGCAGCACAAGUAGUGCCCACGAUUAUUGGGCUUAAAGCGCUCGUAGCUGGCUGAUAUAGUCUCAUGUGAAAUAUUGGUGCUCAACAUCAAUGCGUGCAUGAGAUACCUAUUGGCUAGGGAGCGGGUGAGGUCAGGGGUACUUAUGGGGGAGGGGUUAAAUCCUGUAAUCCUAUAAGGACCAACGGUGGCGAAGGCGCCUGACUAGAACGCAUCCGACAGUGAGGGGCGAAGGCUAGGAGAACGAAUCGGAUUCGAUACCCGAGUAGCCCUAGCAGUAAAUGAUGCAGACUCUGGUGUUGCAAAUGUCACGAAUGUUUGCAGUACCGUAACGUAAGUGUUAAGUCUGCCGCCUGGGGAGUACGGUCGCAAGGCUGAAACUUAAAACAAUUGACGGGGGAGCACACAAGGGGUGGAUGCUGUGGUUUAAUUGAAUCCAACGUCGGAAACAUUACCAGGGGCGACGGCAGGAUGAAGGUCAGACUAAAGAUCUUACCUGACGAGCCGAGAGGUGGCGCAUGGCGGCCGUCAGCUCGUGGUGUGAACUGUCCGGUUAAGUCCGGUAAGUAGGUGAGUAAGACAAUGAUGCAAAAACUAAGACUUACACCAUAUAUGUGUUAUAUAUUUGGAAUAUACAGCUGCAAUCCACAAAAAGAUGCAGUUAUAGAAAUGUCAUCCAAUAAUGAAAAGUAUUUAGAACGAUUCAUAGAGAUUUCCAUCAAUAAAUUAUUAAUAGAACCAAAUAAACUAUUGAUGAAUAAAGAUAGUACCACCAAUGAAUACACAGUUAAAUUCUACAACUCUAAAAUAAGGAAGUUUUUCAACAAAUCCUUUGAUAGAAUAGAACACAUCUUCAAAUACAAAAAUGAUUAUACUGCAAAUUAUUUUGCUGGUAUAUUUGAUAAAUCUGGAAGAUGUGGUAAACGUGGAAUAUACUUUUAUAAAUUAAAUGCAACAAAUACCAUU